rnacentral:rRNA from 1 species
CUACGGGUGGCUCCAGUGAGGAAUAUUGCGCAAUGGACGAAAGUCUGACGCAGCCAUGCCGCGUGCAGGAUGACGGCGCUAUGCGUUGUAAACUGCUUUUAUAUGCCAAGAAACCUUCGGACGUAUCCGAAGCUGACGGUAGCAUAUGAAUAAGCACCGGCUAACUCCGUGCCAGCAGCCGCGGUAAUACGGAGGGUGCAAGCGUUAUCCGGAUUUAUUGGGUUUAAAGGGUCCGUAGGCGGAUCAUUAAGUCAGUGGUGAAAGCCGGCAGCUCAACUGUCGAACUGCCAUUGAUACUGGUGAUCUUGAAUACGGUUGAAGUUGGCGGAAUAGGUCAUGUAGCGGUGAAAUGCUUAGAUAUGACCUAGAACACCGAUUGCGAAGGCAGCCAACUAAGCCGUUAUUGACGCUGAGGGACGAAAGCGCGGGGAGCGAACAGGAUUAGAUACCCCUGUAGUC